rnacentral:rRNA from 1 species
GACGAACGCUGGCGGCAGGCCUAACACAUGCAAGUCGAACGAGUGGCGGACGGGUGAGUAAUGUCUGGGAAACUGCCUGAUGGAGGGGGAUAACUACUGGAAACGGUAGCUAAUACCGCAUACCAUCAGAUGUGCCCAGAUGGGAUUAGCUAGUUGGUGGGGUAACGGCUCACCAAGGCGACGAUACAUAGCCGACCUGAGCGGGUGAUAGGCCACACUGGGACUGAGACACGGCCCAGACUCCUACGGGAGGCAGCAGUGGGGAAGAGUGCACAAUGGGAGCAAGUCGGAUGCAGCCAGGCCGCGUGGAUGAAGAAGGCCUUCGGGUUGUAAAGUACUUUCAGCGGGGAGGCGUGACCCGCAGAAGAAGCACCGGCUAACUCCGUGCCAGCCGCCGCGGUAAUAC